UACGUAGGGGGCAAGCGUUGUCCGGAAUCAUUGGGCGUAAAGCGCGUGUAGGCGGCUGACUAAGUCCGCUCUGAAAGCCCGGGGCUCAACCCCGGGAGGCGGGUGGAUACUGGUCAGCUCGAGUCCGGAAGAGGAGUGUGGAAUUCCUGGUGUAGCGGUGAAAUGCGCAGAUAUCAGGAGGAACACCAUGGCGAAGGCAGCACUCUGGGACGGUACUGACGCUGAGAGCGAAAGCGUGGGGAGCAAACAGG
rnacentral:rRNA from 1 species